GGCAAGCAUCACACAUAUCUUCUUCACCUGUUUCCUGUUACUUCCGGCCGAGUAUCUCCAUUCUUUCUAAGAUCAUUGACAUUUCUCUGGUACUUUGACCAAGUAUCUCCUCUUCACAGCUACUGAAGUUAUAACGAAAACGAGAGAAAAGACACAAUCCAUUUACCUCAACGAUAAUCUCAUUCAAGAUCAAUUGCUAUUCUCAUGGGCACCAGCCAAGACCUUUGAAACCUUACAUAUCCACAAGAGCUGAGGGUGAAAAAUACCUUCAUCAAUAACAAUAAACACCCUUUUCAAAUGAGACAAAGGCCGAGUGUGGUGCGACUCUCUUCCCACACACACUUGAAAUCAGGACAACUGUGGCUCUUUACAUCUGAAAAUAAUUUUACGCCCCUUAGACCUCCCGCCCGCCACCUAGUGAUGAGAAAAGAGCCGAGUUCCAGCAUUUAUACAUAUAUAGUUCAAUACCAAUGAUGGGAUGCCUCCGAAAUACCUGCCAGGAUCUGACGGAUUUGCCAGGUCGCAUUAAUUUUUUCGGAUGUUCAACCACUUGAGAUCCGAUCUCACUGCUCCUCCAACACGCUAAAGACGGCAUUGCAUGUUAAAAUGCACAAAAGACAUAAGGAAUGUGAUUGUGUUUUGCCUCUGAAUAAUAAUUUUACUGUACCAAUUUCAUUAACACUUUUCACUGUAUUUUCCUGGAUAUAUGUGACGACAAAUCAUUCAUCCAUUCAUUCAAUUAAUUUGUUAUGGAUUCUCUGGCUGUCUUUAAUAUAAAGAUAAAGUAAAUCGUAAUAUUUCCGUUAUCAUCUACGAUUAUACAAUAUGUGCAUUUGAUGAGAUGUUGCAACAUUACGGUAAAACAUCUCCAGAUUCGCCGGCAUUGUCAAAUGGACUUUAGGAAUCCUGCAUGUGGUGCAAUUGUUCCUUUCCAUCUUCAUGUUUUGAGUCAAAGUCGCAUGAAAAAAAUUAACUGACGUUUCCAACAAUCAACAGCACUUUUACUCAUUAUAUCAAGACGUGCAAUCUCUUUUUGAAUUUUUGGUGCGAACAAUUGCAAAUAAAUGUUAAAAGUCAAGCUAAAAGCACUGUUAGUAUGAAAGUAACUCAUUUUCUGUGGUGUCGCUGUGGUGAGUUCCAAUCUUUUAAGUAGUUCAAAUGUAAGUUUGAAAAUAAUGACAACGGACAGCAUCUCUGCCAAGUUUUUGCUUAAAGGAGUCACUGGAAUUCUGACGCUUUCGUAUCCUGAGAAAUGAAGAGCACACUGCAGCAACAAAAUGUUUGUUUACAAUUCAUACGAUUCCGAGAGUGGCUAAAGUUAAAGUACUGGUGGAUAGUCAGUCUUGCAUUAGGUGCGGAAUAAGUCAAAGUCACAUUUUAAAAGUGCUCGUUGCUUUCGAAACAUGUAUCAAAGUUUUCAGUGUGAGCCUUGCAUUAAGUUAGCCACCGAACAGGAGAGUUCUGUGGAUGCUGGCAGAGGUUCCGCGCACAGUUUCCCUGUCACUGACUUCCGUGCAACCUGCUGUCAAGCAGGGUCCGUCGUGUAACUGUAGUAACCUGCAUCACAUUCCAUCUAAGACCAUCAGAGACCUUUCAUCGCACAUUAUUCUAAUUUGAAUCUUCUUCCCGUCCAAAAAUACGCUACAUGAUAUUUGCAACAACAACAAAAAAAAAUCCACUAAAAGACUGCUGGAAUGUAUUUAACACUUUUAAAACAUGUCACAAAGAAAAUGGUGUCCAGAAUGCAUCAAUUCAACUGUAGUUACACAAAAGAAAGGCAAGAUGGCAAAGGUUCGGCGUUGUUUUUAACCUGUUGUUUUUAAUCUAAUUAUUUACAUUUAGCACUGACGGACAGGAAUAUAGCAAUACUCGUGAUUACUUGGUUACCUCAAAAGUAUCGUUAGAUACGGAAAUAAACUAAUAGUAACAUGUUUGAUUUGGCAUAUAAUGUAGAAAUCAAGCGUUUGUGACAAUAUUAAUAGGGAAUACAGCCAUCAUGUUCUUGCACUAUGCCACAAAUGAUAAAAUCUACUGAGAGAAUUUAUCAAUGAAAUUUAUCUAUUUGUGGGGAAAUUUAUAGUAUUUCAAAAAUGUUAUUCUUACACGAAAUAAAACAGAUAUGAUUUGCGUCUAAUUUUAUCCCGAAAGGCGCUAUUGAUUGCACAGGGUCUUGAAAAAAAAUGAAGUAGCUGGUUAAUAUUUAUUUUCGUGACUUGUUGGGAAAAUACUAACUUAUACAAUCAGCAUUUUUAUGAAACCAUGUUACGAAUGAUGCGUUGUGUAAAUCAUGUGAAGUUCUAACUGGAAUUCCGCGUGUCUUUUUCUUAACUGUUUUGCACCUGACUGACAACAAAGUGAACAACUAAGUGUCAAUUAUUUUUGUUUAUAGAGAAUUGUCAAAUCUCUUUGACGUAUUCCUGGUGAUAUUCUCACAUGGCCUUCCGUUUCCAAGCCUGUCAAUCCUUCUCCAACUCUAAUACUUAUAAAACAAAAAUGUUCAAGGAAAUUGUAGGAAAAAAGUCCACCUAUGAUGGUUCUCUUGGGUAUCUCUGUGCAGGGGCUCUAUCUUUAAUUCCAGGAAAUUCUGGGGAAUACUAAAAUAUUGGCAGCCCUCGUAUUUGCAUCUUUAUUUGAGACAUGUAUAAAACCUUAUCUCAAGUUGCGU